UACGUAGGGUCCGAGCGUUGUCCGGAAUUACUGGGCGUAAAGAGCUCGUAGGUGGUUUGUCGCGUUGUUCGUGAAAACUCACAGCUCAACUGUGGGCGUGCGGGCGAUACGGGCAGACUUGAGUACUGCAGGGGAGACCGGAAUUCCAGGUGUAGGCGGUGAAAUGCGUAGAUAUCUGGAGGAACACCGGUGGCGAAGGCGGCAUCCUGGACCAACACUGACGCUGAGGAGCGAAAAGCAUGGGGGAGCCG
rnacentral:rRNA from 1 species